rnacentral:rRNA from 1 species
CCCUUAGAUGUUCUGGGCCGCACGCGCGCUACACUGAUGCAUUCAACGAGCCUAUCCUUGACCGACAGGUCCGGGUAAUAUUUGAAUCUGCAUCGUGACGGGGAUAGAUUAUUGCAAUUAUUAAUCUUCAACGAGGAAUGCCUAGUAGGCGCAAGUCAUCAGCUUGCGUCGAUUACGUCCCUGCCCUUUGUACACACCGCCCGUCGCUCCUACCGAUUGGGUGUGCUGGUGAAAUGUUCGGAUCGGCCGUUUGUCGCGGUUUCCGCGUCAUGUGGCUGAGAAGUUCAUUAAACCCUCCCACCUAGAGGAAGGAGAAGUCGUAACA